rnacentral:rRNA from 1 species
UACGUAGGGACCGAGCGUUGUCCGGAUUCAUUGGGCGUAAAGAGCUCGUAGGCGGCUGCUCAAGUCGAAUGUGAAAACUCGAGGCUCAACCUCAGGCCUGCAGUCGAUACGAGCAGACUAGAGUGUUGCAGGGGAGACUGGAAUUCCUGGUGUAGCGGUGAAAUGCGCAGAUAUCAGGAGGAACACCGGUGGCGAAGGCGGGUCUCUGGGCAACAACUGACGCUGAGGAGCGAAAGCGUGGGGAGCGAACAGG